UCCAGGUUAUCCCUGGCGGUCUCCUAUGAGUCCCCACCAUCACGUGCUGGCAACAUAGGACGAGGGUUGCGCUCGUUGCGGGACUUAACCCAACAUCUCACGACACGAGCUGACGACAACCAUGCACCACCUGUGCACGGCCCUUACGGACCCCCCAUCUCUGGAGGAUUUCCGUGCAUGUCAAGCCUAGGUAAGGUUCUUCGCGUUGCAUCGAAUUAAGCAACAUGCUCCGCCGCUUGUGCGGGCCCCCGUCAAUUCCUUUGAGUUUUAGCCUUGCGGCCGUACUCCCCAGGCGGGGCGCCUAAUGCGUUAGCUGCGGCACGGAAUCCGUGGAAGGACCCCACACCUAGCGCCCAACGUUUACGGCGUGGACUAC
rnacentral:misc_RNA from 1 species